GUAACCACACAGGGUUACCGUAGCAGCGACCAUCAGCUUCAUCUGAUAAAAAUAAGCAAGGAAGUCAAGUGUAUGAGAGGGAGAGGAUGUCAGAAGCCAAGCAUGAAAAUGUCACUGCAGCUCCGCUUUCAUUUUCAGUGCUUCCUUCUUCAUUCUGCCCUCAGCCAGACCAGGAGCCCAGUUGUUGCCAGCGCUGCCAAGCCUGCCGUGGAUGCUGCCUGCGGGGUGAGGACUGACCCCUGCUGCCCCUGGAGCUGCAGCCACACUUCCCUGCUGAAAGCCCGGUUUGUGGCCAGGGGACAACACCACCGGGUCCCCCGGCGUGGAGGUGAACUGGCUGAAGGGACUUGCCAUCAGUGACUUUCCAUACCUGUAUCUCCCAACAAGCCUGAGAUAUUUGUGUACAGGGAAGGUUCCUGGUGUGAUGCAGCAGCAGUCACUUUUGAGGAAACCUGAUCAGAAGAAAUUUCCAGAGCCACUGCUGUAAGAAGAAAUGGUUUAUUUGGCUGAGUUUUACCCAGAGAGCCAGCAAAAGCUCCAGACCCUGGAAGAAAGGACCCCAAAAGCUUCAGACCCUGUGAUGCCACCUCCCACCCUGGCACUGGGCUAGUCAUGCUAAGCUGCCUCCAUCGUAAUUAAAAUCUGGGUGUUUAGUCUGAGGUAGUUGUUAAGUCUCCUGCUGUACUCCAUGGAAGGAAGUAAACAUCUCCAGAAGGUGAAUCAUUUUAACAGCCUAUCUGGAAAGAAUGUCCUCAGGCCAGCAAGAGGAUGGAGAUAACCAUGGAGUUGAUUAGAGGGGUGGAGCAGCUCUCCUAAGAGGAAAGGCUGAGAGAAUUGGGACUGUUCAGCCUGGAAGAGAAGGCUUUGGGGUAACCUAAUUGCAGCCUUCCAGUACCUGAAGGGAGCCUACUGCAAGAAAAAUGGAGAGGAACUAUUUAGGAGGGCCUGUAGUGACAGGACAGGGGGAAUGGCUUCAAACUCAAAGAGAGAGUAGGUUUAGAUUAGACUUUAGGAGGAAUUCUUUACUGUGAGGGUGGUGAGGCACUGGCACAGGUUGCCCAGAGAAGUUAUGGAUUAGCCAUUCCUGGAAGUGUUCAAGGCCAGGCUGGAUGGGGCCCUGAGCAACCUGCUUUGGUGGAAGGCAUCCUUGUCCAUGGCAGGGGGCUGGAACUAGAUGAUCUUUAAGGUGCCCUCCAAACCCAAACCCAAACCAUUCAAUGUUUUUGCUUGCCCAGCUUUCAAGCAGCUGAAUCCAUAGGAGGUGAACCUCACUCUUAGUUUAUUUUGUACUUUCACCUUGUUGGGUUUGCCCCUUCACAUGUCAAUGCCCCCUGUUCUGUAGUGCAAAAAGGUUAAUGCAUCCAUGGCCAGCCAUUCUGUGUGAGCCCAGUGGACUGAAUUUGCUGGAAAAUUCACAUUUCUUAAAAAAUAAGCCCAAACCAGCAGGACAUCAGUCACAUGAAGUGACACAACUGGUGAAAAAAAACCCAAUUGUGAAAGGGAAGAAUGAGGAACACGCAGGCAGGACUGCAAUGAAGACCAUGGAGGUAGAAGGAGAGGUGUCAGGGACAAACCACACGCAGCUAGUUCACAAACUCUUAAUGAGGUUCCUCCCACCUGAGCUGAGGAAAACAGACCAAGGAGGUUAAAUAGACUCCCUGCCUUUUGUCUGCAGCCCAGCUGUAGGGCCUGAUCCUGUUUGCUCCCGUGCUCCCACAGCAAAAACCUCUGGGUGUACAUGGAUCUUGCACAGUACCCCAUCUUUUUGUGUGUGUCAGAGAUUCAUGCAGCAAAUGGCAGACAAGCACAAUCUGCUCAACAGGAAUCACCUCAGUGUCUCAGGAAAAGUUGUUAUUUCCACUCCAAUUUUUCAUAUUAAAAUGUUGAGGACUUAAGUAUUUCUCUUAGGUGUUUUUCUGUCCCCACUCAUCAGUCCAGGUACGUGGUGGCUCACAUGGGUAGGCUGGCUGGACAAGAGUCUCCCCACAGGUCUCCAGGGGAUGCUGGUCUUUCAACCUCCUCUCCUGGGGUCUCACAACCAGUCAGUCCCACCAGGAAAUAAAAUGCAGGGACCAGCAGCAUGCUAGAGGGAACAGCAGCUUCCCCUGCCCCUCACCAAGCACAGCAGGCUCCAGAGCACCCUUGGAAACAUUUCAUGGGAGGGCAGAGUGUCGGAACCCAGGAAAUUCCUCUGGCUGCCCUAGAGAACUCGAUCCCCUGCCCAGGGGGCUCAGAGACCUUGGCACAGAGCCCAAGACCCCUGUGCCUUUGAUUUAGCUCUUGGAAAAAAUGGUUACCAACCUCAUAUGAAGGAUUAUAAGCCACAAAAAUUUAAGUAGAAUGAUAGUGAAUUUAUCACGGGGUGAAAAAUAGAUUUUUAGAGUUUUUAGAAUGGGGGGUCAGGAGGCAAGAUAGAGGAAUCGAGGCAUGUCCAGCCUUUCUCCUUCUUCUUCUUCUUGGCCUCCAUCUUCUGCUGUGAUGUUGGCACUUUUAGAAUGGUUUAGAGUAGAAGCUCACUGUCUAACAUAGGUGAUAGGUAUUGGAAAGUAAUUGUAAACAUUGUACACGUGGGUUUUAGUAUAAAAAGAUAACAGCAGAGCACCCAGCAGCAGUGGAGAGCAGCAGCCUGCCAUUCGUGCAGCUGCAGCAGUGUGUGACAAUGCCUGGGUAGUAAAGCCAGCUGUGAGCAGCACAGAUGAAAAACACCAUAAAAAACACGGCAGGAGAAGCACAACGAUGAGAGCACAGUAUUUUCACUUUCCAUCUGUCGAUGCCUGCCUAGUGGUAACCAGAAGGAGAGGUGAGAAAAUGAUGCCUCUGAAGUUUUAUUCCGUGUCUUAUCUGCUAUUUGCCGUGUUACAGAAAGGCCCAGUCUAGAGCUACUUCAAUGAUCAGAUGCUCAACACAAAGAUGUGUGGAAGGGCUUCAGGUUUAGCACCUAUUUUCUUCGCUUGGCUGCCCCAGUCCUCUGGACAAAAGCAAGUCUGGGGAAACGACUGCCAAAGCUUUGCCAGUGACCAAAACACAGCGGAGGACUGGCAGGAGGACGAGCAACCGACAGGAGCUGAUAACAAGUUGCCUUUGCUAAUUGCUGUUUUUAAAGUCCAAAGUCGCUGGAAAAAAUGAGUAAAGUUAGAUUUCGCACACUACCGACAAGAAGAAAGUGCACUGGAAUGUCUGAGUCACCGCUCUGAGCACUCCUAAUUACACAGAGAUACAGUUUUUAUGUGCUGUGUUACAUAUUACAAAUGUGUGCAGAGGC